GAAGAAUUCAAAUCAAAUAGUCCAAAUGAUCGAAGCUGCCGCUGCUUGCAUUACUGGUGAAGAAUCACGCAGGCCCGGGAUCUUAGAUAUCAUUGCAAUAUUGAAAGGUGAAGAAAAGCCUCUGCCCUCCAGAUCAAAGAGGUAUGGCUUCUUGGGACAUGGAUGUGUCACUGAUUGUUAUUCACAGUUUCAAAAUACAAACAGCGAGAUGACGGGUCAUUUGGCGUUGGCCAUGUCAGGACUUCCCGAAUUUGAAGAUGAUGAUUACCUUUUCUGUCGUUGAAAAAGUUACAAUACAAAAACAUGCCAUGACCAACUGAAAUAAGGAG
rnacentral:misc_RNA from 1 species